rnacentral:tRNA from 1 species
GGCAAGGUGGCCGAGCGGUCUAAGGCGUCAGGUUAAGGUCAUACCUUGAUAUUCAGCUUUACUUGAAAGCUUCCUGAUCAUCGUAAGAUGGCGUGGGUUCAAAUCCCACCCUUGUCA